AUGCAGGGAGGGGCAGACAAAGUUCUCUGGACCCUCACUGCUGAUCAUAAGUUUUCUGUGGGGUCCUUAUAUAGAAAACUGAUAGUUGUUGGGAUAAAAUUCCCACAGAAAUACUUAUGGAAGACCAAGGUGCCUACAAAACUGAAAGUGUUUUUAUGGUUGAUUAAUAAAAAAAGCAUCCUAACUAGAGAUGUGCUGCUUAGGAAAGGCUGGAAGGGUGGGAAAGGAUGUGUUCUGUGUGGGAAAGAUGAAUCAAUUGAUCAUUUAUUUUUUUCUUGCUCGGUUGCUUCAUUGUUAUGGAGUUUAGUUAGAUGUGUGUGUGGAUUUAAAACUGUUCCAUCAAAUGUAAAAGACUGUUUUGGGGAAUGGAUUAGGAAAUUUAAUAAAGAUGAUAAGAAACUGGUUCUGGUGGGGAUUUCAGCCCUGCUUUGGGCAAUUUGGAAAAGCAGGAAUGCGGUUGUCUUUGAAAAUAAAAGGAUAAAUGAUCCUUUAUAUAUUGUCAAACUGAUGUGCAGGUGGUUAACUGACUGGUCCAUUAUGCAGAUAAAGGAGUCGUCAAGAAAAACGUUGGAGCUGGGAGCAAGGGUGCUAGAACAGGCAGCAAAUGAAGUGUUCACAGCCAAGCAGGGAUGGAGGAUCAAUGUAGCAAAAUUGGAAUGA
rnacentral:rRNA from 1 species